AUACAGAAUGUGAGAUAUAAGAUUAAACAUCAGAAUAAAAAUGUGUGUUUAAAUGUGAUAUAUAACAAGAAAAAUUCAAAUACACACAUUGAAACUCCGACGUCUGGCAGCUGACUUGACAGACACCCCUAAAAUUAUUAACCAUCUUACAAACAAUAACUCUGAGCACCUUUUCAAACUCCACCUGUGGACAUGUUUACAAAGUCAGAAAACAGCACAACUCCCAUGACUUUCGGAAACAUUUUUUCAUGCUGAGAGUUGCUGAAGCAUGGAACAAACUGCCGGCAUCAGUUGUUAGUUGUCGGAGCACUGCAUCCUUGAAAACUUCCAUGCUUUCUGAGAUUUGCCAACAACACACCUGAUUUUCUCCCCUCCAUACACACACAAGCAUGUAUCUGACUCAUACAUUAUUCGCUUUCCAGACAUUUGUACAUUACUGCAUAUACUUUAUACGCACUGUCUGACAAGUUGUGGUGCACCUGAGCACUGUAUACAAUAAUUUCAUUAUUAUUAUUAUUAUAUGAGGAUUUGGUACAAGUAGUGAAGUUGACAACCAACUAAGACUUUUUACAAAAGAUCAUUCUGAUGAAAGAGAGAUGUAAGAAAUAGUGACAUUUCUGUCGAACAAAGUCUAGGUGCAUUCAAAAUCAACCUGACUUACAACCUUUGUCUUUAAUUCCAAGUGAUUUUGUAGAGGCUGACCUUGCAAAUAACUUCACAGACCCCGUGUGGCUUGCAAACAGACCAUUACUCCAACAAAUGAAAUAUCACAAUUUGUGAAUGAAUUCAUGUUGACCAGGAUCCCUGGCGAGGUAAAGAUAUACAGAAAGCUCAGAUACAGUUGAUAACGAAGCUCUGUACCUAAUCAAAUUCAUCAACAAACUCCUACCAUCAGGUUUUCAAUGGACAUAUCCUCACCUCAAAGACAAGAGGCUGCAUUAGGUUUUCCAAGAAUUUAGAUGUUAAACAAGGCCAUUGCAAUGACACAGGCUACGUUAUUAUCUGCUUGCACGAUCUUAUUAUUGUGGCUGAGGUUGCUUGUGGUCCUUCUGCAGGAUCAAUGCUGGUAAUCUCAAGGAUUCCGCAUGGGUCUCAAUGACUGGAGUUCCCAUUCACAGUUACCACAUAAAAAAUUUCCUGUGGAACCAGUCUCUGCCUUGACAUGCAGCAAGGCACAGGGACAGACAUUUAAACCAAGCAGAAUAUAUCUUCCAACGCAAUUCUUCUCCCGUGGUCAGCUGUAAGUUUCCUUUUCUAGAUUUUGGAUGAAGGCUAAUGUAAAAAUAUUGGCUGAGACAAAUAGAAACUGUAUAUUGACUGACAAUUGUGUCCACAAGGAGGUUCUACUUGAAAAAAUGUGCAUUUUAAGUAAGUUUCACAAAAUGGAAUUUACAACUUUCGUUUUUUGAAAAAUUCCACAGAAUAUUUAAACUGUCUAUAUAACAAUGGAAGUGUUUAGGGAGAUGCAGGGACUUACAACAACAACAACAACAACAAAUGAAAUUUCAAAGUUUGUCUUUAUUUCCACAGUUUAUCUAGAACAAUGAGGGAACCAAACCAGUAAAGGGGUCUACAGGUGAUAGAGAGAUCUGCCAGAAUUAGUAACCAAAUCCGGAUCUUUACUUUUCGACCGGCAGAUUUAGAAAAUAAUUUCUUGUAACUAAACACUUUCAAACUUCGUAUUCUGGUAGAAUGUGUCGUAUAAAACAUCUUUUACUCUUAGCGUUUUUGAGAAAAGUUUAUAUUUACAAAGUUAUUUCGUGUUAAAUUUGUCGUAUUUCAGUAAUUUCAACCAAUCAAUGAUGUGUAUUCAGCUGAAUAAAAUUACUGCUAACCCAUGCUAGCAUGCAAAGCGGACGUUAAAGGAUGAUGAUGAUGAUGAUGAUGUUUGUCAACAACAACUGGUGGUAUAUAUUUCGUUUGUUGUUGUUAUUUAUGACAUCGUUCGUGCGUUUGUAGUGGUUUUAGCUUUAAGGUGUUAGGGUUAGGGUGUUAGGGUUAGAGUUAAGGUUUUAGUGUCAGGGCUAAGGUUUUAGGGUUAGGGUUAGGGUUUUAGGGUUAGAGUUAAGGUUUUAGUGUGAGGGCUAGGGUUUUAGUGUUAGGGUUAGGGUUUUAGGGUUAGAGUUAAGGUUUUAGUGUUAGGGCUAGGGUUUUAAUGUCAGGGCUAAGGUUUUAGUGUUAGGGUUAGGGUUUUAGGGUUAGAGUUAAGGUUUUAGUGUUAGGGCUAGGGUUUUAGUGUUAGGGUUAGGGUUUUAGGGUUAGAGUUAAGGUUUUAGUGUUAGGGCUAGGG
rnacentral:lncRNA from 1 species